CAUCAUUGCCAAUUUUAAUUCGGCAUUUAAAAAAAAAAAACUCCAGUGGAAAAACCCCGAAUGUUGCCAAGACGUUCAGGAAGUAGCAAGCUGCUACAUGAUCUACAGCAGCCAGCCAGCAGAGAGAGCGAGAGAGAGAGAGAGAGAGAGAGAAAGAAAGAGAGAGUUUGGUGUGAGGACAGACUCAGAGCUGCCUGGUGCGCAAACGGACUUCUUCACAGCUGUCCUGUUUUCUGCUCAGCUCCAACAAAGCUGCGGAGGAGAAAGAGAACACGGGAACAACUCCGCUGAUCAUCGGUAACCAAGUUGGUCCUCUGCAAUCAUGCUGGCCGCUGCUGUACUCAAGCUCUACACGAUCGGAAUGGCACUCUCCGUGAUGGCAAUCCUUUGGGGGAUUGCUGAUUCCUUCGGAGGGCUCAUGUACGCCCAGAACCACCACUACAUCCACGGACUGGACACCCAGACACAGACACAGAGGCAGAGCGCCUCCAGGAACCACCUGCGAGGACCAUCUGUGACAAGGAACGUUGGCUCUUAAGGGACCCCGGGAUGCUGAACGCGUGGGACCUUUUCUUGACUUUUUGGAGAGACUUGAACUGUACAUAUCUGUAAUGCCAGGGGAUGUUUUACUCUGUUUCCCCAUCUGCUGUCAGUAAAACACGGUGCAGCUAUUUUACAUAGCAGCUACAAAGAGCUUCAACAGAUAUAGCAGCACUACUGAACGAUUUGCACUGAAACCAGAAUGUUUUUGUAGCCGUUUCUGAAAUAAAAUGUCUUCUUUGUGAUCGU